rnacentral:rRNA from 1 species
GAUCCUGGCUUAGGAUGAACGCUAGCGGCAGGCUUAACACAUGCAAGUCGAGGGGCAUCGGGAGUAGCAAUACUUGCCGGCGACCGGCGCAAGGGUGCGUAACGCGUGAGCAACAUGCCCGUAUCAGGGGGAUAAUCCAUGGAAACGUGGUCUAAUACCCCAUAGUAAUUAUGUAAGGCAUCUUAUAUAAUUUAAAGCUUUGGUGGAUACGGAUUGGCUCGCGUGACAUUAGCUAGAUGGUAAGGUAACGGCUUACCAUGGCUACGAUGUCUAGGGGUUCUGAGAGGAAGGUCCCCCACACUGGAACUGAGACACGGUCCAGACUCCUACGGGAGGCAGCAGUGAGGAAUAUUGGACAAUGGAUGGAAAUCUGAUCCAGCCAUGCCGCGUGCAAGGAAGACGGCCCUAUGGGUUGUAAACUGCUUUUGUAUGGGAGCAAUAAGGGCUACGCGUAGUCCGAUGAGAGUACCAUACGAAUAAGCACCGGCUAACUCCGUGCCAGCAGCCGC